CUUCAGUGAUGAUACGAUGACGAGUCGGAACGGUUCUGUCUGGUUCUGCUGGUCACCGCUUCAGAGUCACGUUCUGUGGUUCUGCUCCGGUUCUUCAGAACAUGAAGGACUCUUCAGUUGAAGACAUCGAGGCAUUUGUCUGAGAAGG
rnacentral:snoRNA from 1 species